GUGCCAGCAGCCGCGGUAAUUCCAGCUCCAAUAGCGUAUAUUAAAGUUGUUGCGGUUAAAAAGCUCGUAGUUGGAUCUCAGUUCCGGGCCGACGGUGCGCCUCCGGCGAUUACUGUCGGUCCGAACAGCUAGUUGGCUUGCACGGGGUGCUCUUUACCGAGUGUCCCGCGUGGCCGGCAUGUUUACUUUGAAAAAAUUAGAGUGCUCAAAGCAGGCUAAUGCCUGAACAGUUGUGCAUGGAAUGAUGGAAUAGGACCUCGGUUCUAUUUUGUUGGUUUUCGGAACCCGAGGUAAUGAUUAAUAGAGACGGACGGGGGCAUUCGUAUUGCGACGCUAGAGGUGAAAUUCUUGGACCGUCGCAAGACGAACUACUGCCGAAAGCAUUUG
rnacentral:rRNA from 1 species